rnacentral:rRNA from 1 species
GGGUGAGUAAUGCUUGGGAACUUGCCUUUAGGUGGGGGAUAACAGUUGGAAACGACUGCUAAUACCGCAUAAUGUCUACGGACCAAAGGGGGCUUCGGCUCUCGCCUUGAGAGAGGCCCAAGUGAGAUUAGCUAGUUGGUGGGGUAAAGGCCUACCAAGGCAACGAUCUCUAGCUGUUCUGAGAGGAAGAUCAGCCACACUGGGACUGAGACACGGCCCAGACUCCUACGGGAGGCAGCAGUGGGGAAUAUUGCACAAUGGGGGAAACCCUGAUGCAGCCAUGCCGCGUGUGUGAAGAAGGCCUUCGGGUUGUAAAGCACUUUCAGUUGUGAGGAAAGGCUGGUAGUUAAUACCUGCCAGCUGUGACGUUAACAACAGAAGAAGCACCGGCUAACUCCGUGCCAGCAGCCGCGGUAAUACGGAGGGUGCGAGCGUUAAUCGGAAUUACUGGGCGUAAAGCGCACGCAGGCGGCUUGUUAAGCUAGAGGUGAAAGCCCCGCGCUCAACGUGGGAACUGCCUUUAGAACUGGCAGGCUAGAGUCUUGGAGAG